UACGUAGGGUGCGAGCGUUGUCCGGAAUUAUUGGGCGUAAAGAGCUCGUAGGCGGUUUGUCGCGUCGGCCGUGAAAUCUCCACGCUUAACGUGGAGCGUGCGGUCGAUACGGGCAGACUUGAGUUCGGUAGGGGAGACUGGAAUUCCUGGUGUAGCGGUGAAAUGCGCAGAUAUCAGGAGGAACACCGGUGGCGAAGGCGGGUCUCUGGGCCGAUACUGACGCUGAGGAGCGAAGGCGUGGGGAGCGAACAGG
rnacentral:rRNA from 1 species